UACGUAGGGGGCUAGCGUUGUCCGGAAUCAUUGGGCGUAAAGAGCGUGUAGGCGGCCCGGUAGGUCCGCUGUAAAAGUCAAAGGCUCAACCUUUGAAUGUCAGUGGAUACUGCCGGGCUAGAGUCCGGAAGAGGCGAGUGGAACUCCUGGUGUAGCGGUGGAAUGCGCAGAUAUCAGGAAGAACACCAACGGCGAAGGCAGCUCGCUAGGACGGUACUGACGCUGAGGUGCGAAAGCGUGGGGAGCAAACAGG
rnacentral:rRNA from 1 species